AAUGCAGACAUCUCUUACAGAGCAGGCUUGCUACGGCUAGUCUGCGAAGUGCUGGUUCUUCUGUGGACUUGGACGAGAGAGCCUCUCUAGUAUAAUGCAGACAUCUCUUACAGAGCAGGCUUGCUACGGCUAGUCUGCGAAGUGCUGGUUCUUCUGUGGACUUGGACGAGAGAGCCUCUCUAGUAUAAUGCAGACAUCUCUUACAGAGCAGGCUUGCUACGGCUAGUCUGCGAAGUGCUGGUUCUUCUGUGGACUUGGACGAGAGAGCCUCUCUAGUAUAAUGCAGACAUCUCUUACAGAGCAGGCUUGCUACGGCUAGUCUGCGAAGUGCUGGUUCUUCUGUGGACUUGGACGAGAGAGCCUCUCUAGUAUAAUGCAGACAUCUCUUACAGAGCAGGCUUGCUACGGCUAGUCUGCGAAGUGCUGGUUCUUCUGUGGACUUGGACGAGAGAGCCUCUCUAGUAUAAUGCAGACAUCUCUUACAGAGCAGGCUUGCUACGGCUAGUCUGCGAAGUGCUGGUUCUUCUGUGGACUUGGACGAGAGAGCCUCUCUAGUAUAAUGCAGACAUCUCUUACAGAGCAGGCUUGCUACGGCUAGUCUGCGAAGUGCUGGUUCUUCUGUGGACUUGGACGAGAGAGCCU